UUUGAUGCUGUAUAAAUAAAAUUGAAUUGAAUUGUAGUACUCCAAAGCUUCAGCUAAGGUUUAAACCAGGGGUGUCAAACAUAAAGCCCGGGGGCCAGAAGGGGCCUGGCAGAGACUCCAAUCUGGCCCUUCGGACGGAUUUUGAAAAUGUAAAGGAGGGCGUACAUGUUGGAAUUUCAACUAUGUUACAACUUUUCCUACUGAUGUUUUAGUUUCCUCUUAAAACUAAAAUUGUAAAAAUUACAUUACAAAACGUAAAUAAACUAAAGACAUUCAGGGACAUUGAUGCUAAACCAACGUAAUGAAGUAACAUAAACAGAAAGGAUGUUUUAUGAUCGUGUACCAGACAAACUGCUGUUUUUCACAGUCGGUCACAGUAAAAACAUUAAUGUGGAUUAACAAAAACUUUCUGUGAGUGAACCGUUGGGCUGCUGGUGACGGCUGAAGGUGAUUCUUUGACGUGUUUUGCAGGUGAAGCCUUGGAGUGUCACUGUGGAGGCCAGAAGUUCUGUUCAAGCCCUGUGGAGACGUGCUCCAGCUCUAAAGAUGUCUGCUCUACUCUCGUCAUCACUUCUGGGCCGGUGGUAACGCACACAAAGGGCUGCUUGAAGUCGCUGGCCUGCAGGAUCCUGAAUCGUCCGCCCGUGAUGACUGUCAGCUGUUGCAGUUCUGAUCUGUGCAACAGAUAAACCGCUGCCAUGCGGGACGUCGCCCGAUUGGUCGACGGUCUGCUGCCGUGUGUUGUGUACUGUAGAACAAUAAAGAUCAGCUGACUGCA